rnacentral:rRNA from 1 species
AUGUUGUGGACCUUUUCUGAUUGCAUGGCACAGAAGCAUCCGAUAUCUGUGAUCACAGAUGGGGACCUUGCAAUGCAGAGAGCAAUAAGGGUGGUCUGGCCAGACUCAAACCAUAGACUAUGUAUAUGGCACAUUCAGCAGAACAUUGUACGCCAUCUGCAUGAUGACGACGUAAAGGAGGAAUGCAGAUCUUUCAUUUAUGAUACUUCUUCCAUUGAAGAGCAUGAGAUAAAAUGGAUACAAUUCUUACAACGGAAUAAAGUAACUAGUGAGGAGUCUUGGCUACAUCAGAUGUAUCACAUGAGAAAGUUGUGGUGUGCUCCAUAUCUUGAGGGGCGUUGUUUCCUAGGAUUGAGCAGCAAUCAGAGGAGUGAGAGCUUGAACUCUGUGCUACAUACGCAUCUUGAGGGUAAGAUGUCGUUGUUUGAAAUGCUAGAACACUAUGAGCGUUGCCUUGCGUCGCGACGGAUUAACGAAGCUCUCCAUGACGUCGAAGCCUUGCAGUCCGUUCCAUUUACAGAGGAAAAUGCUUCGCCGCUUGAGAAACAUGCCGCAACAGUUUUCAAACCUAGUGUCUUUAAGAUGGUCUUAUGGAGCAUAGAUGCUGUCAGCAAAUGUCAGAUCAGAGAGAUACUAGAUGGAUCAGAAGAUUCCACUUAUGUUGUGUCCAAGGAGGAAAGAAUGGAUAAAAGUUUGGAGUGCGCAUUGAAGAGCAAGGAGGUCUUUUGCACAGGGUGA